rnacentral:rRNA from 1 species
AGAGUUUGAUCCUGGCUCAGAUUGAACGCUGGCGGCAUGCCUUACACAUGCAAGUCGAACGGUAACAGGUCUUCGGGUGCUGACGAGUGGCGAACGGGUGAGUAAUACAUCGGAACGUGCCCGAUCGUGGGGGAUAACGCAGCGAAAGCUGUGCUAAUACCGCAUACGAUCUACGGAUGAAAGCAGGGGACCGCAAGGCCUUGCGCGGACGGAGCGGCCGAUGGCAGAUUAGGUAGUCGGUGGGAUAAAAGCUUACCAAGCCGACGAUCUGUAGCUGGUCUGAGAGGACGACCAGCCACACUGGGACUGAGACACGGCCCAGACUCCUACGGGAGGCAGCAGUGGGGAAUUUUGGACAAUGGGGGAAACCCUGAUCCAGCCAUGCCGCGUGCAGGAUGAAGGCCUUCGGGUUGUAAACUGCUUUUGUACGGAACGAAAAGAUCUCUUCUAAUAAAGGGGGUUCAUGACGGUACCGUAAGAAUAAGCACCGGCUAACUACGUGCCAGCAGCCGCGGUAAUACGUAGGGUGCGAGCGUUAAUCGGAAUUACUGGGCGUAAAGCGUGCGCAGGCGGUUAUAUAAGACAGAUGUGAAAUCCCCGGGCUCAACCUGGGAACUGCAUUAGUGACUGUAUAGCUAGAGUGCGGCAGAGGGGGAUGGAAUUCCGCGUGUAGCAGUGAAAUGCGUAGAUAUGCGGAGGAACACCGAUGGCGAAGGCAAUCCCCCUGGGCCUGCACUGACGCUCAUGCACGAAAGCGUGGGGGAGCAAACAGGAUUAGAUACCCUGGUAGUCCACGCCCU